rnacentral:snRNA from 1 species
GCUUCAGCAGCACAUAAACUAAAAUUGGAAUGAUACAGAGAAGAUUAGCAUAGUCCCUGCGCAAGGAUGACACACAAAUUCGUGAAGCAUUCCAUAUUUUU